ACUGCCCCUAGAGGCAUUGCAGGUGUGGCUACUGUGCCACAGGUGUGUCAGUAGGUGACAGAGAGAAGAAAAGCUAUGUCUUCACUCAGUGUUCUGAACUGUGAACAUCUGAAUGAUUAGUAGGCUAGCACU